ACUCACACCAAAUCCAUUAAAGCCUGUCUAAGGGAAAAAUAAAAGCCUCUUUUAGACGAGAUUCUACAAAAUUGCAGUAGCAUUUUGUUCCCUCUCAAUUCCAUCUGGCUCUCUGCUAGUCCCUUAGCUCAAAAUCCCACUAUUCUCCAGCGUUGCCAAGACCUUACUUGAUUUUAUUGGAGCAAACAGGCGAGAAGACUUUUAGUCCAGAAUAAAUCCACACAGCUUAGACUGGAAGGCGAAGGACUUUAGAAAAUUCUUCAGCAACUCGCAAGGGAUUCUUCCUCACUUCCCCUCCUAUAAUAAUAUAUAGGAUUAUAUGACAGUUUUAGUAUCCUCCAUGUUACACUCUAGAAACGGUUGUGUUAUGAGGAAACCAAAUAAUAGUUAAGGGCAGCCCUGAGUUGUGCAUAGAUUUAUGUGGAGCAGAGUGUAGUCUGCGGGAAGUGAUACUUGUAGUGAUGGCUACAUGAGGACCGCUGGGUGAAAGAGCAUAGUGCAGGCUGCAACAGCUCUUACAGAAGGCAAGAGUGUUCUUCCGGAGCUAAGAAACCUCACCCAGUGAAAUUCAAUCAGAGCUGACAUAUUCCUGUGCCAAAUGUUGGAUUUGAAGAAUUUGCGCCUUCUUCACACCUUAUGAGGAAAUCUUGACCAUCGCUACGUAUUAUACAAAACUUCUUCCUCAUGUCCUUUGAGAUGUUAAUAGAUUUUCAAGGAAAUCAUAUCAGGAAAGGAUGAUAAAUAUGCUCCAAGCAAAAUAAAAUGAGUAUGAAUUCUCCUACCUUAUCAAAAGAUUGCCUGGUGUUGGGUUGUGCAGGGUUGCAAGAGCUGCUCAGUGAAUCCUCACCAUUGUCCUUAUGCAGCGCUCUGGAGGCCAGUGUUUUGCAAGCACAAAACAUCUCUUCAUGGAGACAUGGGGGACAGCAAACUGGCACAAAAUGGACUGAAGAUCAUGAAUGGCUCACUUGCGCUGUUACUACUAUGGGGAAAUACAGAAAACAUGCAGUUUAACUUUCAUAUUCCAGUUUUAAAAGAUUACUAGAAGAUUAACCCUCCCCCCAAAAAAACUCUACUCCAGUUUGCACAAGUUCUUUACUUGAAACCUGAGCCUGUUAGCUAAAAAGAAACAUGAGAAGUUAGUUCCUAUGGUAAAGUGCUUUUAAAAGCACUUUCUAUAUCAGAAUUCCACCCCAAGAAGUACCUCUGAAACUUGGGACGUUCCGUAGCCUUGGGGAUCAUCAUGGGCUAGAUAGUUUAGAGUAAAUAAGAGGCGGUUCAGGAUAUAAUAUAUUUUUCUUUUAUUAACAUACAGCUGAGUUUGCAAGGCUAGGAUAGACGAGGCUUUGAAAUAAAAUAGGUUAUAUGCAAUUCCUGCA
rnacentral:lncRNA from 1 species